UACGUAGGGGCAAGCGUUGUCCGGAAUCAUUGGGCGUAAAGCGCGUGUAGGCGGCUUGGUAAGUCCGCUCUGAAAGCCCGGGGCUCAACCCCGGGAGGCGGGUGGAUACUGUCAAGCUCGAGUCCGGAAGAGGCGAGUGGAAUUCCUGGUGUAGCGGUGAAAUGCGCAGAUAUCAGGAGGAACACCAAUGGCGAAGGCAGCUCGCUGGGACGUGACUGACGCUGAGACGCGAAAGCGUG
rnacentral:rRNA from 1 species